AUGGACGAAAGUCUGAUCUAGCAACACCGCGUGUGCGAAGAAGGCCUUCGGGUCGUAAAGCACUUUUUGGAAGGAAUAGGAAGGAAUGUACUUCCAGAAUAAGUCUCGGCUACCUACGUGCCAGCAGCCGCGGUAACACGUAGGAGGCGAACGUUAUCCGGAUUUACUGGGCGUAAAGCGCGUGUAGGUGGUACUGUAAGUAGGGCGUGAAAGCUCCUGGCUCAACUGGGAGAGGCCGUUCUAAACUACAGAACUAGAGGAUGGUAGAGGGAGGUGGAAUUCCAGGUGUAGCGGUGGAAUGCGCAGAUAUCUGGAGGAACACCGGUGGCGAAGGCGGCCUCCUGGACCAUUCCUGACACUCAGACGCGAAAGCUAGGGUAGCAAACGG
rnacentral:rRNA from 1 species